UCUGAGGCAAGGGUUAGGUUGGGUUUGGUCAAUUACGUACUAUAUUAUGCUUUGCUGUCCUGUUGUUAUGAUGCCAUUUUUGAGUACUACCAAAAUGCGUACUUGGAAUUUGCCAAAAACAGAUCAAGAUACAAUUUUAUGUUUUCAGGAGCGAAAUAUUUUAUCAAAAACAGGAAAUGUGAACUUAAACAAGAACCAACCUGGCCGCCGUCACAUCUACUGUAAGAGUUCGCAUUGGGCUAAAUUAUCUUGGUGAAAUCAGGCAGUUUUAUUUAUCCUUCAUGUAUCAAGUAGUGGAGUUUGACACUGAUAGUGGAGGAGGGGUUGGAAUUAUCCACUCUAAAUGGCUAACACCAAGAAAGAAAGAGUGUUUUUGGCCACCUUUUAAACAUUCUCAAGAGUACAAUAAAUGUCUCAGUGACGGACAGCGUCCUUGUGAAAAAUGGAGAAUUUGUGCUUUGAAGAGAAAAUUCUACAUUACUGAUGACAUAUUAAAGGCCAGAGAAAAAUUGAAAGAUGCAGAAUUUGAAUCUGACAUUGCAACUGAAUAUGAGAAUGAAUCCUCACAGAAAAGGAAGAAAAGGCCAAACAGAAGAAUUUUAUACAGCAGUGACGAAAGUAGUAGUGAUGAAUAUGACAUA